UGCGCCUACAAAAACCCCACUCCUCCUCACAACCACGUGAUGGCUGGCCCGUUUUGCUGCUGCGGGAGGGAGGGGGAGUUCUGGGGGGCGGUAUUUCCCGCGGCAAACCCAGCCUCUUCGUGCUCUUCCAUGGCGGAGGUGCUGGAGUUCCGUGUCCCGACGGGGAAUGGAUGGACCCUCCUAGUCCUGGGGCUGGCGACGGACGUGUUGGAGGUCUGUCUUUAAGCAGGAAAAGAGGCCGUAGUUUCUCACCACGGAAUCGUCAGUCCGGAGGUUGACAUCCAACUUGUCAUUGGGCAGCCAGUAUUCUGAUCUUCAAUAUACCAUUUCUUGACAAGGUACUCAGGACUCGGAUCAGGUCACAAUCACACUCGGCCCCCUGGCGCAAUGCAGGCCAGCAGUGACCACACCACCUGGGACAGUCUAAAGAGGAUUCGGGAGCCCUCAGGAGGUGUGGAGGCCCUCAGACUACGGCCCCAAAGUCCAGAGGUCCAGCAUUAAAAAUCAAGCCUGUGGCAGCACUGAAAAUUUGUGCUAGUGUUCGACUCAGGUGUGAGCCUUGCCUUCACUUCAGCCCUAAAAUUUCCUGUUAGCAGAAAUAUCCAGGCAGGGAAAUGCCACAGUCUCCCUACUCUCGAGCUGAUCCAUUGGCAGACCAGGCCUGUUGCUGGAAAAGGAACCUUCCUACCCAGCAUGUCUGGACUCCGCUGGGAGUAGAUCUGCUAGCUGAGGAGGAUUUGGUUUUCAGUGGCAGUCUGGAGCACCUCUCGCCAAUGGGUUUACUCAGGAAUGAGCACCCCAGUCUUCCACUUCAAAUCACAAAGCAGGCUCAGAUGAUUAUCCACAAGUAAUUUCCAUGCUGCCCUUUGCAUGUGCGGGUAUGAAUUGCAAAAAGCAGCAGCAGCAGAAUGUUCCAAGAGGAAGCAGGAAAAUGGAUUGCAUCUGGCAAAGUGGUAAUGUUUCCCAAACUCCAUGUGAUACGCCCAAGACCUCCUGCAUGCCUCAAGGUAUAAAAGUCCCUUUUAUACUUGUGUGUAUAAAAGCGUUUUUGUGUGUCAUGUUUUCACGUCUCUCUGAUUUUUCUGG